GCCCCCGUAGCUCAGCUGGAUAGAGCGCGUGACUUCUAAUCUCGUGGUCGCAGGUUCGAGUCCUGCCGGGGGUGCCA
rnacentral:tRNA from 1 species